rnacentral:rRNA from 1 species
GAUGAACGCUGGCGGCGUGCCUAAUACAUGCAAGUCGAGCGAAUGGAUUAAGAGCUUGCUCUUAUGAAGUUAGCGGCGGACGGGUGAGUAACUCGUGGGUAACCUGCCCAUAAGACUGGGAUAACUCCGGGAAACCGGGGCUAAUACCGGAUAACAUUUUGAACCGCAUGGUUCGAAAUUGAAAGGCGGCUUCGGCUGUCACUUAUGGCUGGACCCGCGUCGCAUUAGCUAGUUGGUGAGGUAACGGCUCACCAAGGCAACGAUGCGUAGCCGACCUGAGAGGGUGAUCGGCCACACUGGGACUGAGACACGGCCCAGACUCCUACGGGAGGCAGCAGUAGGGAAUCUUCCGCAAUGGACGAAAGUCUGACGGAGCAACGCCGCGUGAGUGAUGAAGGCUUUCGGGUCGUAAAACUCUGUUGUUAGGGAGGAACAAGUGCUAGUUGAAUAAGCUGGCACCUUGACGGUACCUAACCAGAAAGCCACGGCUAACUACGUGCCAGCAGCCGCCGCCG